rnacentral:rRNA from 1 species
UUAAGCGACUAAGCGUACACGGUGGAUGCCCUGGCAGUCAGAGGCGAUGAAGGACGUGCUAAUCUGCGAUAAGCGUCGGUAAGGUGAUAUGAACCGUUAUAACCGGCGAUUUCCGAAUGGGGAAACCCAGUGUGUUUCGACACACUAUCAUUAACUGAAUCCAUAGGUUAAUGAGGCGAACCGGGGGAACUGAAACAUCUAAGUACCCCGAGGAAAAGAAAUCAACCGAGAUUCCCCCAGUAGCGGCGAGCGAACGGGGAGGAGCCCAGAGCCUGAAUCAGUGUGUGUGUUAGUGGAAGCGUCUGGAAAGGCGCGCGAUACAGGGUGACAGCCCCGUACACAAAAAUGCACAUACUGUGAGCUCGAUGAGUAGGGCGGGACACGUGGUAUCCUGUCUGAAUAUGGGGGGACCAUCCUCCAAGGCUAAAUACUCCUGACUGACCGAUAGUGAACCAGUACCGUGAGGGAAAGGCGAAAAGAACCCCGGCGAGGGGAGUGAAAAAGAACCUGAAACCGUGUACGUACAAGCAGUGGGAGCCUCUUAAUGGGGUGACUGCGUACCUUUUGUAUAAUGGGUCAGCGACUUAUAUUCUGUAGCAAGGUUAACCGAAUAGGGGAGCCGAAGGGAAACCGAGUCUUAACUGGGCGUUAAGUUGCAGGGUAUAGACCCGAAACCCGGUGAUCUAGCCAUGGGCAGGUUGAAGGUUGGGUAACACUAACUGGAGGACCGAACCGACUAAUGUUGAAAAAUUAGCGGAUGACUUGUGGCUGGGGGUGAAAGGCCAAUCAAACCGGGAGAUAGCUGGUUCUCCCCGAAAGCUAUUUAGGUAGCGCCUCGUGAAUUCAUCUCCGGGGGUAGAGCACUGUUUCGGCAAGGGGGUCAUCCCGACUUACCAACCCGAUGCAAACUGCGAAUACCGGAGAAUGUUAUCACGGGAGACACACGGCGGGUGCUAACGUCCGUCGUGAAGAGGGAAACAACCCAGACCGCCAGCUAAGGUCCCAAAGUCAUGGUUAAGUGGGAAACGAUGUGGGAAGGCCCAGACAGCCAGGAUGUUGGCUUAGAAGCAGCCAUCAUUUAAAGAAAGCGUAAUAGCUCACUGGUCGAGUCGGCCUGCGCGGAAGAUGUAACGGGGCUAAACCAUGCACCGAAGCUGCGGCAGCGACACUAUGUGUUGUUGGGUAGGGGAGCGUUCUGUAAGCCUGUGAAGGUGUACUGUGAGGUAUGCUGGAGGUAUCAGAAGUGCGAAUGCUGACAUAAGUAACGAUAAAGCGGGUGAAAAGCCCGCUCGCCGGAAGACCAAGGGUUCCUGUCCAACGUUAAUCGGGGCAGGGUGAGUCGACCCCUAAGGCGAGGCCGAAAGGCGUAGUCGAUGGGAAACAGGUUAAUAUUCCUGUACUUGGUGUUACUGCGAAGGGGGGACGGAGAAGGCUAUGUUGGCCGGGCGACGGUUGUCCCGGUUUAAGCGUGUAGGCUGGUUUUCCAGGCAAAUCCGGAAAAUCAAGGCUGAGGCGUGAUGACGAGGCACUACGGUGCUGAAGCAACAAAUGCCCUGCUUCCAGGAAAAGCCUCUAAGCAUCAGGUAACAUCAAAUCGUACCCCAAACCGACACAGGUGGUCAGGUAGAGAAUACCAAGGCGCUUGAGAGAACUCGGGUGAAGGAACUAGGCAAAAUGGUGCCGUAACUUCGGGAGAAGGCACGCUGAUAUGUAGGUGAAGUCCCUCGCGGAUGGAGCUGAAAUCAGUCGAAGAUACCAGCUGGCUGCAACUGUUUAUUAAAAACACAGCACUGUGCAAACACGAAAGUGGACGUAUACGGUGUGACGCCUGCCCGGUGCCGGAAGGUUAAUUGAUGGGGUUAGCGGUAACGCGAAGCUCUUGAUCGAAGCCCCGGUAAACGGCGGCCGUAACUAUAACGGUCCUAAGGUAGCGAAAUUCCUUGUCGGGUAAGUUCCGACCUGCACGAAUGGCGUAAUGAUGGCCAGGCUGUCUCCACCCGAGACUCAGUGAAAUUGAACUCGCUGUGAAGAUGCAGUGUACCCGCGGCAAGACGGAAAGACCCCGUGAACCUUUACUAUAGCUUGACACUGAACAUUGAGCCUUGAUGUGUAGGAUAGGUGGGAGGCUUUGAAGUGUGGACGCCAGUCUGCAUGGAGCCGGCCUUGAAAUACCACCCUUUAAUGUUUGAUGUUCUAACGUUGGCCCCUGAUCGGGGUUGCGGACAGUGUCUGGUGGGUAGUUUGACUGGGGCGGUCUCCUCCUAAAGAGUAACGGAGGAGCACGAAGGUUGGCUAAUCCUGGUCGGACAUCAGGAGGUUAGUGCAAUGGCAUAAGCCAGCUUGACUGCGAGCGUGACGGCGCGAGCAGGUGCGAAAGCAGGUCAUAGUGAUCCGGUGGUUCUGAAUGGAAGGGCCAUCGCUCAACGGAUAAAAGGUACUCCGGGGAUAACAGGCUGAUACCGCCCAAGAGUUCAUAUCGACGGCGGUGUUUGGCACCUCGAUGUCGGCUCAUCACAUCCUGGGGCUGAAGUAGGUCCCAAGGGUAUGGCUGUUCGCCAUUUAAAGUGGUACGCGAGCUGGGUUUAGAACGUCGUGAGACAGUUCGGUCCCUAUCUGCCGUGGGCGCUGGAGAACUGAGGGGGGCUGCUCCUAGUACGAGAGGACCGGAGUGGACGCAUCACUGGUGUUCGGGUUGUCAUGCCAAUGGCACUGCCCGGUAGCUAAAUGCGGAAGAGAUAAGUGCUGAAAGCAUCUAAGCACGAAACUUGCCCCGAGAUGAGUUCUCCCUGACUCCUUGAGAGUCCUGAAGGAACGUUGAAGACGACGACGUUGAUAGGCCGGGUGUGUAAGCGCAGCGAUGCGUUGAGCUAACCGGUACUAAUGAACCGUGAGGCUUAACCUU